rnacentral:misc_RNA from 1 species
UUUCCGUAGGUGAACCUGCGGAAGGAUCAUUCAUAAUAAGUGUUUUGUGGCACUUUUUUAAAUCCAUAUCUACCUUGUGUGCAAUGUCAGUGUUGAUUUUUCUCUCGAGAGGAUCAACCCCAAACAUCAACUAUAUCUCAACUCUUUGUCUGAAAAAUAUUAUGAAUAAAACAAUUCAAAAUACAACUUUCAACAACGGAUCUCUUGGCUCUC